AAAGGAAUUGACGGGGGCCCGCACAAGCGGAGGAACAUGUGGUUUAAUUCGAUGAUACGCGAGGAACCUUACCCGGGCUUGAACUAGGCAGGAAUAGUGCAGAGACGCACUAGUCUUCGGACCUGCUUGGAGGUGCUGCAUGGUUGUCGUCAGCUCGUGCCGUGAGGUGUCGGCUUAAGUGCCAUAACGAGCGCAACCCUUUUCUACGUUUGCCAUCAGGUUAUGCUGGGCACUCCGUAGAUACUGCCAUCGUAAGAUGUGAGGAAGGUGGGGAUGACGUCAAAUCAGCACGGCCCUUACGUCCGGGGCUACACACGUGUUACAAUGGGGGGUACAGAAGGUUGCUACCUGGCGACAGGAUGCUAAUCCCAAAAACCCUUCUCAGUUCGGACUGGAGUCUGCAACCCGACUCCACGAAGCUGGAUUCGCUAGUAAUCGCGCAUCAGCCAUGGCGCGGUGAAUACGUUCCCGGGCCUUGUACACACCGCCCGU
rnacentral:rRNA from 1 species